rnacentral:misc_RNA from 1 species
GAUGAAGAACGUAGCGAAAUGCGUUAAGUAAUGUGAAUUGCAGAAUUCAGUGAAUCAUCGAAUCUUUGAACGCACAUUGCGCCCGCCAGUAUUCUGGCGGGCAUGCCUGUUCGAGCGUCAUUACAACCCUCAGGCCCCCGGGCCUGGCGUUGGGGAUCGGCGGAAGCCCCCUGUGGGCACACGCCGUCCCUCAAAUACAGUGGCGGUCCCGCCGCAGCUUCCAUUGCGUAGUAGCUAACACCUCGCAACUGGAGAGCGGCGCGGCCAUGCCGUAAAACACCCAACUUCUGAAUGUUGACCUCGAAUCAGGUAGGAAUACCCGCUGAACUUAAGCAUAUCAAUAAGCGGAGGA